GUGGGGAAUAUUGGACAAUGGGCGAAAGCCUGAUCCAGCCAUGCCGCGUGUGUGAAGAAGGUCUUCGGAUUGUAAAGCACUUUAAGUUGGGAGGAAGGGCAGUAAGUUAAUACCUUGCUGUUUUGACGUUACCGACAGAAUAAGCACCGGCUAACUUCGUGCCAGCAGCCGCGGUAAUACGAAGGGUGCAAGCGUUAAUCGGAAUUACUGGGCGUAAAGCGCGCGUAGGUGGUUUUGUAAGCUGGAGGUGAAAUCCCCGGGCUCAACCUGGGAACUGCCUCCAAAACUGCGUGACUAGAGUACGGUAGAGGGUAGUGGGAUUUCCUGUGUAGCGGUGAAAUGCGUAGAUAUAGGAAGGAACACCAGUGGCGAAGGCGACUACCUGGACUGAUACUGACACUGAGGUGCGAAAGCGUGGGGAGCAAACAGGAUUAGAUACCCGAGUAGUCC
rnacentral:rRNA from 1 species